UGGGGAAUAUUGGACAAUGGGCGAAAGCCUGAUCCAGCCAUGCCGCGUGUGUGAAGAAGGUCUUCGGAUUGUAAAGCACUUUAAGUUGGGAGGAAGGGCAGUAAGCGAAUACCUUGCUGUUUUGACGUUACCGACAGAAUAAGCACCGGCUAACUCUGUGCCAGCAGCCGCGGUAAUACAGAGGGUGCGAGCGUUAAUCGGUUUUACUGGGCGUAAAGCGUGCGUAGGCGGCUGAUUAAGUCGGAUGUGAAAUCCCUGAGCUUAACUUAGGAAUUGCAUUCGAUACUGGUCAGCUAGAGUAUGGGAGAGGAUGGUAGAAUUCCAGGUGUAGCGGUGAAAUGCGUAGAGAUCUGGAGGAAUACCGAUGGCGAAGGCAGCCAUCUGGCCUAAUACUGACGCUGAGGUACGAAAGCAUGGGGAGCAAACAGG
rnacentral:rRNA from 1 species